CAGUAACAUUCACAUUUUGAAAAGCUAGGGUUUCUCCCAAUCAAAGCGCCGUCGCCCCCUCUGGCACUCUCCGUCGUCCAUCCCCGCUCUCCCUCGUCUUCAAUCGUCGGCCGGUUUGAGUUGCGUGACCGGUCAAGAAAGCAUACGUUGUUCUAUACUUCUAAUUGAUUGUAUUUGCUGGUUUGAGACCACGAUAAAAGUAAAAAUCCGAUUUUCGCAUCUUCCUCAGGAGUCUUAGAAUUUCUGCUACAUAAGGGUUAGUUGUUCCAAUGGGUAUUCCAUAUGAAAACAACUCAAAAUGUGAGCUAGUUUCGGAGAAUGAGGAAUUUAAUCAAGAACGGAUUAGGAAAGCGUUAGUAAAAAUGUUGAUUGUUGAUAAGUUUCCCUUUUCUUUUGACGAGCGGGCGGGUUUCAGAAAUUUUGUAAGACUAUUAAUCCUCAUUUUAUUGUACCUUCACUUGCAACUGUAACAAAAGAUUGUUUUGAUUAUAUUAUUGACGAAAGGAGAUGGUUAGAACAACCCACCAUCAUCAUUGCUGAAACAGUUGAUGAAGCAAUCGAGUCGGUUUAAGGUAGAAGUGGCCAUGGAAGCAUUUUUCAUGAAGAUUGGUUAUGGCAGGAUACUAAUAUGAAUUGUAGGUUAACAAGGGAUGAUAGAUAAUGGAUAAUGGAUAUUUACAAGUGCUUAAUCCUUAUGACUGGAU